GGGAAUAUUUAAGGGGCCGUGGAACCCUCCCUGGGCCUAACGGGGAAUCUGGAGGCCUCCCUGGGAGGAACUGGGGAUCAGGAGCCCUCCCUGCGCUCAACGGGGAAACAGGAGCCUUCCCUGGG